UCCUCUAGGCCAGCGGAGGAUCCGCCCACCCAUGAGUCAGAGGAUUUUGUGAGGUCUACUAGAAUGACAGCUCAAACCUGUCCACGUCAACACCAGAGAACCACUAUGGAGAUCGCGUCUUUGGAACCCUCGCUGUACACCGUGAAAGCGGUCUUCAUUCUGGACAACGAUGGCAAUAGACUUCUAUCAAAGUACUACGACACAGAGCUCUACCCCUCCAUGAAGGAGCAGAAGAACUUUGAAAAGAACGUUUUCAACAAGACACACAAAGCUGACACAGAUGAGAUUGCCUUCGUGGAGGGGAUGACGAUCGUGUACAAGUGCAGCAUCGACCUAUUCUUCUACGUGGUGGGCAGUGCACAGGAGAAUGAGCUCAUGCUCAUGGCUGUACUGAACUGUCUGUUUGAGUCCCUCGGUCAAAUCCUAAGGAAAAAUGUGGAGAGAAGGUGUCUAUUGGACAACAUGGACGGAGUCUUCUUAGUAGUGGACGAAAUUAUUGACGGGGGGGUGAUCUUGGAAAGCGACCCCCAACAGGUCAUCCAGAAGGUCAAUUACAGGGUAAGACAGCUACACUCACUGACUGUGUCUACUGUAUGGAUUAAUACAUGGAUUCUGAUAUGGGGACAAUACUUGAAGACACAGAUGACUAUAGGAAAUGGUGAUUUCUAUUUUCAGACCAACAGAUGUUGGGAUUGUGUCUCGUGGAUUGUUGUUGAAUCUGACAACCUGUAUGUUUGAGGAAAAUGAAUUAACUUAUUUGAUGUCACAACACCAAAUGCCAGUCUUCAGCCCCCCCCCCCCCCCACCACCACCACCACCAUCCCAUCAACACCAAGUCCAUCUUCCUCUCAUGUGUCCUCUCUCCCCUGACCCCACCCUCACAUUGUCCUCUGGAUGGUUCAGAGCAAGCCUACGGCUUAGGCCUCUUUGAUUCGGCUUCGUUGGUAACAUUGAUGGACAGAAGCCAGUGUGCAUAGCAACAGACUGCCCCUACCACCAGAGAUGACGGGUGAGGGAUAGCGGGUGAGGGAGAUCCAGCGCAGGUAACUGCAUGGUGAGAGAGCAUAUAACCUCCAGAUAACCACCUCACAACGUUGGAACAACUGUCCACUAAGUCUGUGUCUUGCUGUGGUUUGUCAGUGGUUAGCCUCAGGUUGCCCAGCGUGUUUCAAGGAGUCCAUAUGGGGUUCUAGGAAAUGCCAUAGGUGUUGGUACACUAAGAGCAGCAGGGCCCUUUGUUCUACUCCCCUGCACAAUGCAUGCCUUGUGUGAGGCAGCCAUUUUAAUUGGAUUGUGGUGGUCACUGACAUAUUUACCAAUGUCGGAGUGAAUUUACAUUCGCAAUGCAAGGCAUCAAAUUCCUUUUUUUAGGGCAUUAUGUUAUCUUGCUUGCUUUAUGUGUUUGACUCUUUACACACACACAGCCCCUAAUGGUGUGUGUGUGUGCUUGAUUUGCUAUGACGUCAUGUCCCCUCUUUCUUUUACGGUAUCUAUUCCAGGCGGAUGAGAACCCACUGUCAGAGCAGAGCGUGGCUCAGCACAUUACGGACAAAUUGGCUAUGACCUCCAAUAUAAUGCAGUCUGCCAAAGAACAAAUAAAGUGGUCAAUACUCAAAUGAUCUACACUGCCUGUCCAAAGGUCAAAUGUUUUACUGUAAUGGACAGUACGAAUUUAUGUGUAAAUAUUAAGGGGUGUAUUUAGCGAUUUAUGCUUAAAUAGGCUAUAUUUAUAGUAAUUAGUGGAGAAUACAGCGUUUUUCCUAUGAAGGCAAGAUGGUAUUUGUAAUUAUUAUUUUGGAAAUAAUCUGUUUUAAUUUAUUUGAUUUGCAAUAAAAAUCUGAAGAAUUAUGCUAGAUUAUAGCAUAUGAUUUUGUUAAUUUCCCUUAACCCACACAAAAUGCUCUGUAAAGAAUGUUUUAACCAAGAGAACUGAAUUUAGUUUUAAUUUGCUCAGGCCUACACAACAAGGAACUGUUGCUUAGGCUUCAAUGAUUAUGAAGUUAUGUUACAGAGAACUUUAAACAUGACAUUUUGAUAUACUACAUUUUAAAGCUUUGUAAGUUUAACAGAAAAAGGGCAAUAGCCUGUGUAUUGUUACAGUAGUUCUGGUUGAAAGUCAGGUUACCCCCAUGUUCAUUUGAGAAUGAUUGUGUGUUCAUAAUAAAACGAAGUUGACAUAGGUAGUAGGUAGGUGUAUGUUUUUUUUCUAAAGCACUGAGAACACCUUUAAGACCAUAAGAAUAAAAUAUAUUUUGUUACUAGCCUGUGAUGGACAAAUAAACUAUUUGAAUAUUUCCUCAUUUUAACGCCAAAUUGGAAGAUAGGCUAAUAAUUGUUAGUUUUGUUGAUUUAUAUUGCCGUCUGUUUUCUAAUUUGAGUCUGCCUGUUGUCAAGCUAAUUAAACAAUUUUUUUGUA